rnacentral:rRNA from 1 species
AGAGUUUGAUCCUGGCUCAGAUUGAACGCUGGCGGCAUGCUUUACACAUGCAAGUCGAACGGCAGCACGGGGGCAACCCUGGUGGCGAGUGGCGAACGGGUGAGUAAUAUAUCGGAACGUGUCCUGUAAUGGGGGAUAACGCAGCGAAAGUUGUGCUAAUACCGCAUACGAUCUACGGAUGAAAGCGGGGGACCGCAAGGCCUCGCGUUAUGGGAGCGGCCGAUAUCGGAUUAGCUAGUUGGCGGGGUAAAGGCCCACCAAGGCGACGAUCCGUAGCUGGUCUGAGAGGAUGAUCAGCCACACUGGGACUGAGACACGGCCCAGACUCCUACGGGAGGCAGCAGUGGGGAAUUUUGGACAAUGGGGGCAACCCUGAUCCAGCCAUGCCGCGUGAGUGAAGAAGGCCUUCGGGUUGUAAAGCUCUUUCGCGAGGAAAGAAACGGUGCGCGCUAAUACCGCGUACUAAUGACGGUACCUCGAGAAGAAGCACCGGCUAACUACGUGCCAGCAGCCGCGGUAAUACGUAGGGUGCGAGCGUUAAUCGGAAUUACUGGGCGUAAAGCGUGCGCA